rnacentral:rRNA from 1 species
GAUGAACGCUGGCGGCGUGCCUAAUACAUGCCAGUCGAGCGAACAGAUGAGGAGCUUGCUCCUCUGACGUUAGCGGCGGACGGGUGAGUAACACGUGGAUAACCUACCUAUAAGACUGGGAUAACUUCGGGAAACCGGAGCUAAUACCGGAUAAUAUAUUGAACCGCAUGGUUCAAUAGUGAAAGACGGUUUUGCUGUCACUUAUAGAUGGAUCCGCGCCGCAUUAGCUAGUUGGUAAGGUAACGGCUUACCAAGGCAACGAUGCGUAGCCGACCUGAGAGGGUGAACGGCCACACUAGAACCGAGACACGGUCCAGACUCCUACGGGAGGCAGCAGUAGGGAAUCUUCCGCAAUGGGCGAAAGCCUGACGGAGCAACGCCGCGUGAGUGAUGAAGGUCUUCGGAUCGUAAAACUCUGUUAUUAGGGAAGAACAAAUGUGUAAGUAACUAUGCACGUCUUGACGGUACCUAAUCAGAAAGCCACGGCUAACUACGUG